CGUAGGGUGCGAGCGUUAAUCGGAAUUACUGGGCGUAAAGCGUGCGCAGGCGGUUGUGCAAGACAGAUGUGAAAUCCCCGGGCUUAACCUGGGAAUUGCAUUUGUGACUGCACGGCUAGAGUGUGUCAGAGGGGGGUAGAAUUCCACGUGUAGCAGUGAAAUGCGUAGAUAUGUGGAGGAAUACCGAUGGCGAAGGCAGCCCCCUGGGAUAACACUGACGCUCAUGCACGAAAGCGUGGGGAGCAAACAGGAUUAGAUACCCUGGUAGUCCACGCCCUAAACGAUGUCUACUAGUUGUCGGGUCUUAAUUGACUUGGUAACGCAGCUAACGCGUGAAGUAGACCGCCUGGGGAGUACGGUCGCAAGAUUA
rnacentral:rRNA from 1 species